GCCUGGGUGGCUCAGUCGGUUAAGCGUCUGACUUCGACUCAGGUCAUGAUCUCGCAGUUCGUGGGUUCGAGCCCCGCGUCGGGCU
rnacentral:tRNA from 1 species